UACGUAGGGUGCGAGCGUUUGUCCGGAAUUAUUGGGCGUAAAGGGCUCGUAGGCGGUUUGUCGCGUCGGGAGUGAAAACUCAGGGCUUAACCCUGAGCCUGCUUCCGAUACGGGCAGACUAGAGGUAUGAGCAGGGGAGAACGGAAUUCCUGGUGUAGCGGUAGAAAUGCGCAGAUAUCAGGAGGAACACCGGUGGCGAAGGCGGUUCUCUGGGCAUUACCUGGCGCUGAGGAGCGAAAGUGUGGGGAGCAAACAGG
rnacentral:rRNA from 1 species